rnacentral:rRNA from 1 species
UACAGAGGGUGCAAGCGUUGUUCGGAAUUAUUGGGCGUAAAGCGCGUGUAGGCGGCUCAGCAAGUCGGGUGUGAAAGCCCUCGGCUUAACCGAGGAAGUGCGCCUGAAACUACUGAGCUUGAGUACCGGAGAGGGUGGCGGAAUUCCCGGUGUAGAGGUGAAAUUCGUAGAUAUCGGGAGGAACACCAGUGGCGAAGGCGGCCACCUGGACGGCUACUGACGCUGAGGCGCGAAAGCGUGGGGAGCAAACAGG